CCUACGGGAGGCAGCAGUGAGGAAUAUUGGUCAAUGGGCGCGAGCCUGAACCAGCCAAGUCGCGUGAGGGAAGACGGCCCUACGGGUUGUAAACCUCUUUUGCCGGGGAGCAACGGGCGCCACGUGUGGCGCCACUGAGAGUACCCGGUGAAAAAGCAUCGGCUAACUCCGUGCCAGCAGCCGCGGUAUUAAGGAGGAUGCGAGCGUUAUCCGGAUUUAUUGGGUUUAAGGGGUGCGUAGGCGGAGCGUAAAGUCAUUGGGAAAAUUGUGGGGCUCAACCCGUUCCCGCCGUUGAAACUGGCGCUCUUGAGUGGAAGAGAAGUAUGCGGAAUGCGUGGUGUAGCGGUGAAAUGCAUAGAUAUCACGCAGAACCCCGAUUGCGAAGGCAGCAUGCCGGCUUCCUACUGACGCUGAGGCACGAAAGCGUGGGGAUCGAACAGGAUUAGAUACCCGUGUAGUC
rnacentral:rRNA from 1 species